rnacentral:rRNA from 1 species
GAUGAACGCUGGCGGCGUGCUUAAUACAUGCAAGUCGAACGGACAGGCCCUGCUCUUGUGGCGUGCUCGAGUGGCGAAGGGGUGUGAAUAACGCGAGUAUCCCGUCCUUGUCUUUGGGAUAAAUCUUGGAAAAUGGGGAUAAUAUCGGAUAGGAGCUUCUGAUGCACGGGGGUGGUUGGAAAGUUUCGGCGGUUGGGGCUGGACUCGCGGCUUAUCAGCUUGUUGGUGGGGUAGUGGCUUACGAAGGCUUUGACGGGUAGCCGGCCUGAGAGGGUGACCGGCCACAUUGGGACUGAGAUACGGCCCAGACUCCUACGGGAGGCAGCAGUGGGGAAUAUUGCACAAUGGGCGGGAGCCUGAUGCAGCAACGCCGCGUGCGGGAUGACGGCCUUCGAGUUGUAAACCGCUUUCGCCUGUGACGAAGCGUGAGUGACGGUAAUGGGUAAAGAAGCACCGGCUAACUACGUG